CCUACGGGACGCAGCAGUGAGGAAUAUUGGUCAAUGGACGAGAGUCUGAACCAGCCAAGUAGCGUGAAGGAUGACUGCCCUAUGGGUUGUAAACUUCUUUUAUAAAGGAAUAAAACGAGGCACGUGUGCCUUUUUGCAUGUACUUUAUGAAUAAGGAUCGGCUAACUCCGUGCCAGCAGCCGCGGUAAUACGGAGGAUCCGAGCGUUAUCCGGAUUUAUUGGGUUUAAAGGGAGCGUAGAUGGGUUGUUAAGUCAGUUGUGAAAGUUUGCGGCUCAACCGUAAAAUUGCAAUUGAUACUGGCAGU
rnacentral:rRNA from 1 species